rnacentral:rRNA from 1 species
GGACCGCUAAUCGGAUUACUGGGCGUAAGCGCACGCAGGCGGUCUGUCAAGUCGGAUGUGAAUCCCCGGGCUCAACCUGGGAACUGCAUUCGAAACUGGCAGGCUAGAGUCUUGUAGAGGGGGGUAGAAUUCCAGGUGUAGCGGUGAAAUGCGUAGAGAUCUGGAGGAAUACCGGUGGCGAAGGCGGCCCCCUGGACAAAGACUGACGCUCAGGUGCGAAAGCGUGGGGAGCAAACAGGAUUAGAUACCCUGGUAGUCCACGCCGUAAACGAUGUCGACUUGGAGGUUGUGCCCUUGAGGCGUGGCUUCCGGAGCUAACGCGUUAAGUCGACCGCCUGGGGAGUACGGCCGCAAGGUUAAAACUCAAAUGAAUUGACGGGGGCCCGCACAAGCGUGAGCAUGUGGUUUAAUUCGAUGCAACGCGAAGAACCUUACCUACUCUUGACAUCCAGAGAACUUUCCAGAGAUGAAUUGGUGCCUUCGGGAAACUCUGAGACAGGUGCUGCAUGCCUUGUCGUCAGCCUCGUGUUGUGAAAUGUUGGGUUAAGUCCCGCAACGAGCGCAACCCUUAUCCUUUGUUGCCAGCGUUCGGCCGGAACUCAAAGGAGACUGCCAGUGAUAACUGAGAGUUGGGAUGACGUCAAGUCAUCAUGCCCUACGAGUAGGCUACACACGUGCUACAUGCGCAUACCAGAGAGCGAUCUCGCGAGAGCAGCGGACUUCAUACAGUGCGUCGUAGUCGGAAUGAAGUCUGCAACUCGACUCAUGAAGUCGGCAUCGACUAGUAUCGUGAUCAGAUGCUACGUGAAUCUUUCUCCCGGCUAUAA